GUGUCAGCCGCCGCGGUAAUACGUAGGGUGCAAGCGUUGUCCGGAUUUAUUGGGCGUAAAGAGCUCGUAGGCGGUUAGUCACGUCGGAUGUGAAAACUCAGUGCUUAACACUGAGCCUGCAUUCGAUACGGGCUGACUAGAGUAUUGUAGGGGAGACUGGAACUCCUGGUGUAGCGGUGAAAUGCGCAGAUAUCAGGAAGAACACCGGUGGCGAAGGCGGGUCUCUGGGCAAUUACUGACGCUGAGGAGCGAAAGCGUGGGGAGCAAACAGGAUUAGAUACCCUGGUAGUCCACGCCGUAAACGGUGGGCGCUAGGUGUGGGGAACAUUCCACGUUCUCCGUGCCGCAGCUAACGCAUUAAGCGCCCCGCCUGGGGAGUACGGCCGCAAGGCUAAA
rnacentral:rRNA from 1 species